rnacentral:rRNA from 1 species
AUGCAAGUCGAGCGGGGGAAGGUAGCUUGCUACUGGACCUAGCGGCGGACGGGUGAGUAAUGCUUAGGAAUCUGCCUAUUAGUGGAGGACAACAUCUCGAAAGGGAUGCUAAUACCGCAUACGUCCUACGGGAGAAAGCAGGGGAUCUUCGGACCUUGCGCUAAUAGAUGAGCCUAAGUCGGAUUAGCUAGUUGGUGGGGUAAAGGCCUACCAAGGCGACGAUCUGUAGCGGGUCUGAGAGGAUGAUCCGCCACACUGGGACUGAGACACGGCCCAGACUCCUACGGGAGGCAGCAGUGGGGGAUAUCGGACAAUGGGGGGAACCCUGAUCCAGCCAUGCCGCGUGUGUGAAGAAGGCCUUAUGGUUGUAAAGCACUUUAAGCGAGGAGGAGGCUACUUUAGUUAAUACCUAGAGAUAGUGGACGUUACUCGCAGAAUAAGCACCGGCUAACUCUGUGCCAGCAGCCGCGGUAAUACAGAGGGUGCGAGCGUUAAUCGGAUUUACUGGGCGUAAAGCGUGCGUAGGCGGCUUAUUAAGUCGGAUGUGAAAUCCCCGAGCUUAACUUGGGAAUUGCAUUCGAUACUGGUGAGCUAGAGUAUGGGAGAGGAUGGUAGAAUUCCAGGUGUAGCGGUGAAAUGCGUAGAGAUCU